GACUUCCCGUGUUUUCUUCAGUGUUCCUGUGCUGCAGCUGUCAUCCAGGCUGGGAUGGUUGGAGUUCCCUCUGCACGCAUCUGACAUAGUGGCAUCUCAAAGGCUGUGAGCAGGUUUGGCAGGUGCCUUAGCCAAGGCAACCCCCCCAUCCAUUCUGUGGCACUAUGGAGCCAGGCUCACAACGCAGCAGAGCAGAGGGAGUUGAUGCUCUGAUGGGUGCAUGUUCACAUCCAUUGGUCAUCCCAAUACUCUACUACAGCCAGACAGCAGCAGCAUGUGCGGUCACUGACAGCUCACAAUGAAGGAAGAAACUCUUUCCAUUUGACUAACAAGCAGUAUAAGAAAGCAGGUGGUGGAUGACUGCUUGCACAGCCUCAUGUUUUCCAGACCUACAGGGGCAGAGGAAUCAGAGCCAGGAGUGUGGCCAUGGUCCCAUCAGUCUUUAGUUAUUAUUAUCAUCCCAGCAACCUUUCCAUUAAUUCCUUUUGCCGACUAUCUGGACUGAAAGUGAUGUCUGAUUUUUUCCAAAUUCAUCAAAGUGCUCCUGGAGUCAUCAUUUCUCAUUUACAGUGGGAGUGCUCCGUUCAGCCAGCACAUCUGUCAUGGCUGACACCAGGCAAUGAAACCUUACGGCUCUCCAUAAGGCAUCUAAAAGCAGAGAGAACAGCGCACUGUGUGAUGCUCGAGGAGCUACAAGUCUAUAAAAGUGCAUUACCUCUUGUGCUGUCAUUCUGACAGAGGCAGUGCAGACCUCAGCAGAGUUUUAUUGCCUGUGGGCUCAGGUGUUUGCAGUGAUACUUGGGGCGUGUGUGACAGAAUGAACAUCAGGGAUUCUGGAUCAACAAAGCUUCUCUUCCAGAGCUUGAAGCAGCAUGAUGAGCCCCACUUACCUAAUGUGGGGAAUAUUCAGAGAAUGCAGGAGAUGAUCAAGGACACAGACACACAAAGUAAAAUCCCAGAGAUGCACUAAAAGUGAUGCGGGGCAAUUUGACCUUACAGGAGUAUGGGAAUGAGACCAGAUAACCAAUAAGAAAAGCCAAAUGGAACAAGUAGCAAGCGACGCCCAGUGGGCAACUUUAGUGCUCCUUUAAAAUCAAACACAAGGCUUUUGCUGGAGGUAGAGCAUGUGGCUAAUGCAGACAUAUCCUGCAGGUAUGUCUUUGCUGUUGUAGGUGGAAUUAGAGUUUUAUCUUUGGCAGCAAGACAGAUGCGAUAGUAUCUGCUAGAAUCAAACACCUCAGAUGAAAGGCUAUGAGUAUCCCCAAGGAAAGAUUCAAGGCUUGCAAAUCACUGCUGUGCUUUGUUGGCAAGCUGGGUAAAUACACAACAGUUAACUAUUUUCUACUGUUGUCCUUAGACUUAGGAAAGAUAAUCCAAAGGAAGAGAGUGCAGUCAGUGGGGUUAAUAACAUGGAAGUUGCUUUCUGAGACUCGCAGUAGCAAAGAAUUUAGGCAUAUUUAGACAAAGAAGCCUAGUUUCACAAGAGGCAGCUUUGGUUGCAUUUUCUGUGAGGAUAUGUUAAUAGAAACCAAUACACAAACACAGCAGUAGUACUUAAAAACCCCCUCAGAAUGUAGGGGAUGUGCUCCACAAAUGCUGCACCAAAUAGGUGUCUGAGAAAGCGCUUAGGAGAGCUGCAGAGGAGCUUUCAGUUAUGUGAUGGCACUGAGAUUUUCUUCAGGGAGGAAUUUGGCUGUGAGCACCAAGAAACCAAGGGCAUACCCCCAACCCAGCUCCUCAUCUUCUGUAUAUUAAAUCCGUGGAGUAAUGCUCAAUAAACAGAUCUGUCAGCAGAGGGUUAAUGCUUUC
ensembl:lncRNA